rnacentral:tRNA from 1 species
UCUAUUUUGGCAGAUUAGUGCAAUAAAUUUAGAAUUUAUAUAUAUAGGUUAUCUAUAGAUAGAA